GUGAAUCAUCAAAUUUUUGAACGCAAAUUGCACUCUCUUCGGAGAGUAUGCCUGUUUGAGGGUCAGCCUAAAAAAAAUCGACAUAGUCGCUGGUUCGCGGUUACAUUCGUCGGAAAUUGGGUCAUCUUAAAUCCUUUUGGUUUUUAAGCGACUUAAAAUUUUCUUUUUGGUUCCAUUAACGGUUCUAAGUUUUAUUUCUUUACACGUUUAAGGUAUCGUGUUUUAUUAGACGUAACCGUCAUAUC
rnacentral:misc_RNA from 1 species